rnacentral:rRNA from 1 species
CCUUGACAUCCAGAGAACUUAGCAGAGAUGCUUUGGUGCCUUCGGGAACUCUGAGACAGGUGCUGCAUGGCUGUCGUCAGCUCGUGUUGUGAAAUGUUGGGUUAAGUCCGCAACGAGCGCAACCCUUAUCCUUUGUUGCCAGCGGUUCGGCCGGGAACUCAAAGGAGGCUGCCGGUGAUAAACCGGAGGAAGGUGGGGAUGACGUCAAGUCAUCAUGGCCCUUACGGCCAGGGCUACACACGUGCUACAAUGGCGCAUACAAAGGGAAGCGACCUCGCGAGAGCAAGCGGACCUCAUAAAGUGCGUCGUAGUCCGGAUUGGAGUCUGCAACUCGACUCCAUGAAGUCGGAAUCGCUAGUAAUCGUAGAUCAGAAUGCUACGGUGAAUACGUUCCCGGGCCUUGUACACACCGCCCGUCACACCAUGGGAGUGGGUUGCAAAAGAAGUAGGUAGCUUAACCUUCGGGAGGGCGCUUACCACUUUGUGAUUCAUGACUGGGGUGAAGUCGUAACAAGGUAAGCGUAGCGAG